UACGAAGGGGGCUAGCGUUGCUCGGAAUCACUGGGCGUAAAGCGCACGUAGGCGGACUCUUAAGUCGGUGGUGAAAUCCUGGAGCUCAACUCCAGAACUGCCUUCGAUACUGGGAGUCUCGAGUCCGGGAGAGGUGAGUGGAACUGCGAGUGUAGAGGUGAAAUUCGUAGAUAUUCGCAAGAACACCAGUGGCGAAGGCGGCUCACUGGACGACUGUUGACGCUGAGGUGCGAAAGCGUGGGGAGCAAACAGG
rnacentral:rRNA from 1 species